rnacentral:rRNA from 1 species
AGUGAACGCUGGCGGCGUGCCUAACACAUGCAAGUCGAACGAUGAUGAUGGAGCUUGCUCUAUCUGAUUAGUGGCGCACGGGUGAGUAAUGCAUAGAUAAUGUGCCCCUUAGUUUGGGAUAGCCACUGGACACGGUGAUUAAUACCAGAUACUCCUUCCCAUUAUAAGAUGAGUCGGGAAAGUUUUUUCGCUAAGGGAUCAGUCUAUGUCCUAUCAGCUAGUUGGUGAGGUAAUGGCUCACCAAGGCAAUGACGGGUAUCUGGUUUGAGAGGAUGAUCAGACACACUGGAACUGAGACACGGUCCAGACUCCUACGGGAGGCAGCAGUGAGGAAUAUUGCACAAUGGAGGAAACUCUGAUGCAGCAACGCCGCGUGGAGGAUGACGCAUUUCGGUGUGUAAACUCCUUUUAUUAGGGAAGAUUAUGACGGUACCUAAUGAAUAAGCACCGGCUAACUCCGUGCCAGCCGCCGCGGUAA